rnacentral:rRNA from 1 species
UACGUAGGGUGCAAGCGUUGUCCGGAAUUAUUGGGCGUAAAGAGCUCGUAGGCGGUCUGUCGCGUCGGCUGUGAAAACCCGAGGCUCAACCUCGGGCCUGCAGUCGAUACGGGCAAACUAGAGUACUGCAGGGGAGACUGGAAUUCCUGGUGUAGCGGUGAAAUGCGCAGAUAUCAGGAGGAACACCGGUGGCGAAGGCGGGUCGCUGGGCAGUAACUGACGCUGAGGAGCGAAAGCGUGGGGAGCGAACAGG